rnacentral:lncRNA from 1 species
CACAGGGCCACCUGGUCACCCCUAGAAUAAUCUAGUCCCUCUUUAAUAAGACCCAGUUCCUCCCAUGAUAGACCCAGUAUACAUUGAGAGGUAUAAGAGACUAAAUCCAUCUACAUUUGCAGGAACAUCCUUAUUUGAAGAGGUCGAGUACUAGUUGGUAGAGACAGAGAAUGCAUUCGUAAUUCUUGGGGUGGUUCUCGAACAGAAGGUUGUACUUACCACCUAUAUGCUCAUAGUGAGGCAAGUCACUGGUGGCAGUUGAAGCAGGCCACCCUGUCUAACCCAGUCACUUGGGAACAGUUCCUGGUAGCUUUCAAUGCAGAGUACCUCCCAGAGCAUCUUCGAUAUUUGAAGGAAAUAGAGUUUCCAUACCUGAUU